UACGUAGGGGGGCUAGCGUUGUCCGGAAUCAUUGGGCGUAAAGCGCGCGUAGGCGGUCAGAUAAGUCCGGUGUGAAAGUCAAAGGCUCAACCUUUGAAUGCCGCUGGAAACUGUCUGGCUAGAGUCCGGAAGGGGCGAGUGGAACUCCUGGUGUAGCGGUGAAAUGCGCAGAUAUCAGGAAGAACACCAAUGGCGAAGGCAGCUCGCUAGGACGGUACUGACGCUGAGGCGCGAAAGCGUGGGGAGCAAACAGG
rnacentral:rRNA from 1 species